GGAAAAUUCCCGAUGUCAAAACCCUCCAGUGUGCAGACACAGACGUUGUUGACAGUACGAAGAGUGGAACCUGUCUACCUCAAAAUCCAGGCUAUUACUUUACACUGAACAACUUGAUCUGUUUCAAAAGGACUGGUGUGGAUAUAAGUCUAGGGGACUCUGGUGGAGGAGUGGUGUUCAACGGCAUGAAUUACGGAGUCAUUUCUUUCACAGGCAAUGGUAGAAUGGCCUGUGUUGCACCAGGGUGCUGCUACCGACCAUUUGUGAAUACAAAGAUUGGAUCACUCACAUUACCGGGAUUCCUAUCCCAACAACAUGUCCAACCUGUAAAUGGAAUUGUCUAAAUUGUUUUAAAGGGUGAGAGGUCGUGUUAUUUAGCAGACCUUCAGAUCUACUAAAACCCUCUGAUUGGCUCUAAAUUGGCUGAUGAUACAUUUACAAUAGGUUGGUUUACAUUAAAUAUCCAACUCUCAUUAGAAAAGCUCUUGAAGAUCAUUUCAAAAGGAAGCGUCUGAGUUAUAAAUGUUAGUUUAACUUUAUUGAUGCAAACUUUUGUUACGGUACAAAAUAAAGACGUAUCUUUUCCCCUUUUUGAAUUUAAACUUGGAUUUAAUUGUAGAAUAUAACCUUUAAUCAACAGAGAUUGCAGGAUAUGGUACAGAUAGUAUUUUAAAAGCAACUCAUGCAAAUAUGAAGGUGUUUCUUUUGAACAGGCUGAUCUCAUGCUCUGCCGGCAGCUCUAAAGUAAUGCAUGUCAUUCGUAUGUUUCCCACAAAAUCAACUCCUUGUUGAAUGUUGUCAUUUAAAGUAAAUAAAGAGCCGUCUUCAUUA